CAGCCAUGUUGCUUCUGGCACAUGGGGGAUAAUCAGACAGGUUGAGGUUGCAAAGCUGACUCUCCCGGCAGCCCACGUUGAAAGUGUUGGGGGCCAGAUGAAAGGCUGGAGGGGAGCAGGAUGGAGAGAGAAGGCUGUUAAUACUGCAGCAGGGUCAGCAGAAGGGAACAUCUACCUCUAGUUUCAUUGCAAAGUCUUUUUUAGUUGAAAUUGCUGAUAAAGGUGAGACUGAUCUGAGGUAAAUGACUACAGGCACACAUUUUCCUGUUAGCCCUGCACUGAAGAGGGUAACUCCAACAGAGAGGGCAGGCAGACAGCUGAGUUCAUAUAUCACCACUUAGCUGUCAAAGCCCAAAGUAGAGAGGUCACAUAAUCACAAAACAAAUAGAGCACAAAGUGAGAUGUAUUAAACCCACAGUAAUCCCGCACUUGAUUCUUUACACCACAUAUUUCAUGAACAAACUUCAGAUGGUGACUUACUUGCUGACAGAGCCUGGAGAAUAAGUAAAAAUACAUAUGUAUAUAUAUGAGCAUUUAAUGAUCUGUUUGAAAUAAAAUACAUUGAAUAAAUGA